GCCGCGUGAGUGAUGAAGGUUUUCGGAUCGUAAAGCUCUGUUGUUAGGGAAGAACAAGUACCGUUCGAAUAGGGCGGUACCUUGACGGUACCUAACCAGAAAGCCACGGCUAACUACGUGCCAGCAGCCGCGGUAAUACGUAGGUGGCAAGCGUUGUCCGGAAUUAUUGGGCGUAAAGGGCUCGCAGGCGGUUUCUUAAGUCUGAUGUGAAAGCCCCCGGCUCAACCGGGGAGGGUCAUUGGAAACUGGGGAACUUGAGUGCAGAAGAGGAGAGUGGAAUUCCACGUGUAGCGGUGAAAUGCGUAGAGAUGUGGAGGAACACCAGUGGCGAAGGCGACUCUCUGGUCUGUAACUGACGCUGAGGAGCGAAAGCGUGGGGAGCGAACAGGAUUAGAUACCCUGGUAGUCCACGCCGUAAACGAUGAGUGCUAAGUGUUAGGGGGUUUCCGCCCCUUAGUGCUGCAGCUAACGCAUUAAGCACUCCGCCUGGGGAGUACGGUCGCAAGACUGAAACUCAAAGGAAUUGACGGGGGCCCGCACAAGCGGUGGAGCAUGUGGUUUAAUUCGAAGCAACGCGAAGAACCUUACCAGGUCUUGACAUCCUCUGACAAUCCUAGAGAUAGGACGUCCCCUUCGGGGGCAGAGUGACAGGUGGUGCAUGGUUGUCGUCAGCUCGUGUCGUGAGAUGUUGGGUUAAGUCCCGCAACGAGCGCAACCCUUGAUCUUAGUUGCCAGC
rnacentral:rRNA from 1 species